rnacentral:rRNA from 1 species
ACAAGGCAUGCUCAGUAGCGGCGAGUGAAGCGGCAAGAGCUCAGAUUUGAAAUCUCACCUAGUGUGCGAGUUGUAAAUUGCAGGUUGGAGUCUCGGGUUAGACGUGUGUGCAAGUCCCUUGGAACAGGGUGCCACUGAGGGUGAGAGCCCCGUAGCGUGCAUGUCGACACCUGUGAGGCCCUUCUGACGAGUCGAGUUGUUUGGGAAUGCAGCUCUAAGUGGGUGGUAAAUUCCAUCUAAGGCUAAAUAUUGGCGAGAGACCGAUAGCGAACAAGUACUGUGAAGGAAAGAUGAAAAGCACUUUGAAAAGAGAGUGAAACAGCACGUGAAAUUGUUGAAAGGGAAGGGUAUUGGGCUCGACAUGGGAUUUACGCAUCGUUGCCUCUCGUGGGCGGCGCUCUGGGUUUUUCCUGGGCCAGCAUCGGUUUUCGUUGCAGGAUAAGGACAAUUGGAAUGUGGCUCCUCGGAGUGUUAUAGCCUUUUGUAGAUGCUGCGUAUGGGGACCGAGGGCUGCGGCGGACUCGUUUCGUCUCGGAUGCUGGCACAACGGCGCAAUACCGCCCGUCUUGA